rnacentral:misc_RNA from 1 species
GAAAUGCGAUACGCAAUGCGAAUUGCAGAAUUCCGCGAGUCAUCAGAUCUUUGAACGCAGCCGGCGCUGGCGGGAUCUCCCGUCAGCAUGCUUGUUUCAGUGUGUUUGGUUGACUUCACACAACUCAAUGCGAUUGAGGUUUUUUAAAACUUCUCUCGUGAAGAAGGGAUGCGCGCGGCCCGGCCCGCCAACGGAGUGGUCACUGUUCACCAGUGAUUUCGUUGGAGUCACAGGUCGAGCCAAUACAAGCGCGCAAUUCACAUCUAUAUAAUCUUCAAUCAGCACCCGAAAUCAAGCAAGAUCACCCGCUGAACUUAAGC